rnacentral:rRNA from 1 species
UUUAAUGAGAGUUUGAUCCUGGCUCAGGACGAACGCUGGCGGCGUGCCUAAUACAUGCAAGUCGAACGCUUCUUUUUCACCGGGUGCUUGCACCCACCGAGAAAGAGGAGUGGCGGACGGGUGAGUAACACGUGGGCAACCUGCCCAUCAGAGGGGGAUAACACUUGGAAACAGGUGCUAAUACCGCAUAAUUCUUUUUGUCGCCUGACAGAAAGAUAAAAGACGCUUUCGGGUGUCACUGAUGGAUGGGCCCGCGCUGCAUUAGCUAGUUGGUGGGGUAACGGC